rnacentral:tRNA from 1 species
GGACGUGCGCCCACUGGAGAGGGCAGCGGCGAAAGCCGGAUAAGGCCGGUUCGAUUCCGGCACGUCCACCA